AUCAGGGGUAAACCUGUGGAACUCGAACGAGCGAACGGGGAGAUUCAAUGUUCUCUGCUGAUCUGCGGCGGGGCGUUGACGUCGUGCAUUCGUGUAUGGCGCUCGUCCUUUCGUACGGUCRGUAGAGUGCGUGCACUCCUCCCUUAGUAAAACACCGCGACCCGUUGCAUUUGGGUCGAUCGCGCCGUGCGGUAGCCCCGCUUUGAUUCGUCAUUGUGGAACCGCGGYGUCGCGACUCAAGUGCGACGGUAAUGAACGAGGUUUGCGUCCGCCUUUGGCGUCCGCGUUGUGGCGGYGGCUUUUCUUGUCCGGYUUCGAUACGCAAGUGUCGYAGCUGGCRAGCAGAGGUCGCGUCUGCUGCAUCGGCUCGGACGGGACGCGUCCCGGUCUGCGGUGGUUUGUUUCGGGCACUCACAGGACCCGUCUUGAAAC
rnacentral:rRNA from 1 species